AGCUUUGUGGCGCAGCGGAAGCGCGCCGGGCUCAUAACCCGGAGGGUAUGGACAUAACACAGUACUUUCCUGUUGACUCAGGCUAAUCAUAAUAGACUCUGGAUCGAAACCAGACAAAGCUA
rnacentral:tRNA from 1 species